GAUAAAAUGGCUGAAUUAAGUGGUGGGUUGUAGCCCCAUAAAUAAAGGUUAAAGUCCUUUUUUUAUCA
rnacentral:tRNA from 1 species